GUCCAGACUCCUACGGGAGGCAGCAGUGGGGAAUAUUGCACAAUGGGGGAAACCCUGAUGCAGCGACGCCGCGUGAGCGAUGAAGUAUUUCGGUAUGUAAAGCUCUAUCAGCAGGGAAGAAAAUGACGGUACCUGACUAAGAAGCCCCGGCUAACUACGUGCCAGCAGCCGCGGUAAUACGUAGGGGGCAAGCGUUAUCCGGAUUUACUGGGUGUAAAGGGAGCGUAGACGGUUCUGCAAGCCAGAUGUGAAAGCCCGGGGCUCAACCCCGGGACUGCAUUUGGAACUGUAAGGCUAGAGUGUCGGAGAGGUAAGUGGAAUUCCUAGUGUAGCGGUGAAAUGCGUAGAUAUUAGGAGGAACACCAGUGGCGAAGGCGGCUUACUGGACUGUAACUGACGUUGAGGCUCGAAAGCGUGGGGAGCAAACAGGAUUAGAUACCCGCGUA
rnacentral:rRNA from 1 species